rnacentral:rRNA from 1 species
GAUCUGAAAUCAGGUAGGAUUACCCGCUGAACUUAAGCAUAUCAAUAAGCGGAGGAAAAGAAACUAACAAGGAUUCCCCUAGUAACGGCGAGUGAAGCGGGAAAAGCUCAAAUUUUAAAUCUGGCAGGGGUUUCCUGUCCGAGUUGUAGUUUCAAGAAGCGUUUUCGGAGCGCGCCUGGGUAUAAGUCCUUUGGAACAGGGCAUCAUAGAGGGUGAGAGUCCCGUUUAUGACCCGGAGGCCUAGCGCUCUAUGUGAUACGCUUUCUAAGAGUCAGGUUGUUUGGGAACGCAGCCUAAAAUGGGUGGUAAAUUUCAUCUAAAGCUAAAUAUAGGCGAGAGACCGAUAGCGAACAAGUACCGUGAGGGAAAGAUGAAAAGAACUUUGAAAAGAGAGUUAAACAGUACGUGAAAUUGUUGAAAGGGAAACGU